GCGAAGAACCUUACCAAAUCUUGACAUCGGAGUGACCGCUCUUUAAUCGGAGCUUUCCUUCGGGACACUCCAGACAGGUGGUGCAUGGUUGUCGUCAGCUCGUGUCGUGAGAUGUUGGGUUAAGUCCCGCAACGAGCGCAACCCUUAUCCUUAGUAGCCAGCGGUUCGGCCGGGCACUCUAGGGAGACUGCCAGGGAUAACCUGGAGGAAGGUGGGGAUGACGUCAAAUCAUCAUGCCCCUUAUGAUUUGGGCUACACACGUGCUACAAUGGCGUAAACAAAGGGAAGCGAACCCGUGAGGGGAAGCAAAAUCUCAAAAAAUAACGUCUCAGUUCGGAUUGUAGUCUGCAACUCGACUACAUGAAGCUGGAAUCGCUAGUAAUCGCGAAUCAGCAUGUCGCGGUGAAUACGUUCCCGGGUCGACGCGGCCGAGUCGUGGAGG
rnacentral:rRNA from 1 species